rnacentral:rRNA from 1 species
GAAGUUCUGGUUUAAAAUAGAUACGUUUUUAAAGUUAGGAUGUAUGGGAUAAUUGUAGUACA